AAAAAUAGACACCCACAAUCCCAUCUCGAUCCCAUCUUCCCCUCCUCUCAUCCCCGCGUGCCACUCAACGAGCUACUCGAAGGGGCGUCAGGGUGCAGGCCUGGCCGGAGGAGGUCGGGCCACAGCUGGGAGCCGAGUUAGGAAGCCCGUCCCCCGCGUCGCCCGCGUCUGGCGACACGGGGGAAAACCAGCGCCGCCGCCACGCUCCCUCCUCCACCACCUCUCCAAGCUGCGCCGCUGCUAGAGGAUCGGCCGGGGAAUCCGCACCGCACCUAGGGAAGGUGGCGACGGGGCGGACUCGUUCCCCUCCCCUGCGCCAGAGCCCUUCCCCCAACCCUCCAUCAGGCGGGAGCCCUCCAACACCGCGCCCGCCCCCUCCAACGCCGCCUCCCUCGUCCCCGGCGAUGGCACUCGUCCCUCCAUGGUCGGAUCCGCGGCAGCGGCUUCGCGGUGUCUCCCCCCACAGCACGCACGACCUGGUCUGCCCAGAUCCGGUCUAGAGACGCCCCCACCCCCUCCCUCCGGUUGUUGUGUCCUCCGGCCCGCGCGCGGCUGCAUGAGCUCGAUCUACUCCUCCCCAUGCCACCUCCUCCCUCGGCUGCACGCUCUCCUCUCGUGCUGUUGCUGAUGGUGUGGGCGUGGCUCUGGGUGGUGGAUGAGUCAGGCGAGCCGAGGCUCCAGGCCUGCCAUGUUAUUUUUUGUUGAAUUAGAUUUGUUUUAGAAUUGUCUUAUAAUUGUUAGCAUAAAUGAUGACUUGUUUUAGAAUUUUUAGCAUAAGGUUGCCCUCGUUCUUUUAUGUUGAAUUAGAUUUGUUUGUUCCGAAAUUUGCAGGCAUGUGGUGUGAUGUAUUGAUCUUGGUCUUGUUCUGUUUGCAGAGACACCUGAUUAUGUAUCAAAUCUGUUUUGAUCGAGUGCUUUUUGACAUUUAUAAGGUGUUACUGUUUUAGGAAGAUGGAGUGAGACAGAUGUUGAUACUCCGCUCCAGCAGCUGAAGUGAAAUUAAGCAUGGUCUGCUGGUACAAAGAGCACAAGACCCUCCAGAGGCAAUCAGCUAAGACGAAGAAUGUGGAAAGAGCUGGCGAGUUGAGAGAAAGUUCUUUUAUGCAUUGAGUGCUUGCGUCUACCCUGAAUUUAAGGAGCUCAAAACUGUAGUUAUCUUGAAGGAGGCGGAUGGUUGGCCUGCACAGCAUUAACUUCCGUGAUAAAAUGUCUUGGAGAAACUAGCCACCAAGGAAUUGUGCAAGCACUACACAAAGGAAUCGACAUUGAGUGUCGGGUUGGUCGCUUUCACAAUAUAUAUGGUCCAUAUGGGAUAUGG